CGCACAUUGCGCCCUUCGGUUAUUCCUUAGGGCAUGCCUGUUCGAGCGUCAUUUCAACCUUCAAGCCUGGCUUGGUGUUGGGCGCUGUCCCGCCUCCGCGCGCGGACUCGCCCCAAAUGAAUUGGCAGUCGCACCCUCCGAGCCGCGAGCGCAGCACAAGUCGCGCGGGCGGAACUCUGGGGGGACGGACGCUCCACAAGACCCUUUCUCAGUCUUGACCUCGGAUCAGGUAGGGAUACCCGCUGAACUUAA
rnacentral:misc_RNA from 1 species